CAGGUGGGAAUUCUCCGAUCCCAAUGGGAAUUCUGUGAUCCAGGUGGGAAUUCAGUGGGAAUUCUCUGGUUCCAAGUGGGAAUUCUCUGAUCCAGGUGGGAAUUUGGUGGGGAUUCUCUGAUUCCAGGUGGAUUUAACACGAGUUCUCUGAUUCCAAGUGGGAAUUCUCUGAUCCCAGAGGGAAUUGUCUGAUCCAGGUGGGAAUUAAUGGGAAUUCUCUGGUUCCAGGCGGGAAUUCUCUGAUCCCAGCAGGAACUCUGUGAUCCAGGUGGGAAUUCGGUGGGAAUUCUCUGGUUCCAGGUGAAUUUAACAGGAAUUCUCUGAUCCAGUUGGAAAUUAACGGGAAUUCUGUGAUCCAGGUGGGAAUGCUCGGAGCCAGGUGGGAAUUAACGGGAAUUCUCUGAUUCCAAGCGGGAAUUCUGUGAUCCCGGAGGGAAUUCUCUGUGAUCCAGGUGGGAAUUCAGUGGGAAUUCCCUGCUCCAGGUGGGAAUUCUCUGAUCCCGGAGGGAAUUCUGUGAUCCUGGAGGGAAUUCUCUGCUCCAGGUGGGAAUUCUCUGGUUCCAGGUGGGAAUUCUUUGAUCCAGGUGGGAAUUCUCUGGAAUUCUCU